ensembl:lncRNA
GUGAAUGCCCCAGCUCCGGUGGAGCUGUACAAGCGGGCGUUCGCCCGUCAACGAGCCCGUGACCUGGCGCAGCACGCAGACACAUUGCUCUCCAAGGACAAGGAGAUCGCCACCCUGCAGCAGGAGUGUAGGGAGAUGGAGACGCGCUUGGGCACAGCCAAGGGCUCCCCAGUCCCAUCUGGUGUAGUGGAGUUUGAGAGGCUGCUAAGGGAGUCCCAGAAGGAGGUGCUGAGGCUCCAGAGGCAACUGUCAAUCUCCUCCUCCAGAGUCAUCUCCUCCAGAGUCAUCUCCCCUAAAGACACUUCCUGUAAAGACACCUCCUGUGAAGACACCUCCUUCAGAGUCACCUCCCCUAAAGACACCUCCUGUAAAGACACCUCCUCCAGAGUCACCUCCUCUAAAGACACCUCCUGUAAAGACACCUCCUCCAGAGUCACCUCCUCUAAAGACACCUCCUGUAAAGACACCUCCUCCAGAGUCACAUCCUCUAAAGACAACUCCUGUAAAGACGCCUCCUCCAGAGUCACCUCGCCUAAAGACACCUCCUGUAAAGACACCUCCUCCAGAGUCACAUCCUCUAAAGACACCUCCUGUAAAGACACCUCCUUCAGAGUCACCUCCCCUAAAGACAUCUCCUCCAGAGUCACCUCCUAUAAAGACACCUCCUGUAAAGACACCUCCAGAGUCACUUCCUCUAAAGACACCUCAUCCAGAGUCACCUCCCCUAAAGACACCUCCUGUAAAGACUCCUCCAGAGUCACCUUCCUUAAAGACGCAUCCUGUAAAGACACCUCCUGUAAAGACCCCUCUUGUAAAGACACCUCCUGUAAAUACCCCUCUGGCAGGAAACACAACGGACACGGAAGGCCCUGCAUAACAAAGGAGGAAAGGGAGGAGAAGGUUGCAGCAGAGACCCAAUUCUUGGCGUUAAAUGAGUCUCCAGCCAGGUGUGAGGAGACUCCCAGAGAGGAGGAGGGGCCACGAGUGAUCCCAACUCCGCCGGGGCCCGCCCCCACCCCGAGCCACUCCCACCAGAAGGAGCACACAGAAGAUCAAAGACUACAGUUGCUGGUAAGAACAGGCACAUUAAUAUCACACACAUUAUAUCCGCACUCACCUCAUACAGUAUACAACCCUGUCACGGCUAGCUAUACUGACACACACACCUCUUGUUGGAGACUUGGCUGAAAUGGCAUUGCUAAUUGGACUAGUGCAGUCUUGUAAGCCUACUGCUGAAUAUCGAGUGCUGGCUAAACCAGUUAUGAUAUAAUGGUUGCUUGUGGUCUGAAGGAUGGCUUUAUCAAUGCAUGAAGAUAAACCAAGUGUUAAUGCUAUGGACAG